rnacentral:rRNA from 1 species
UCCCUACGGGGUGCAGCAGGCGCGAAAACUUUACAAUGCGGGCAACCGUGAUAAGGGAACCUCGAGUGCCUGUAUAUGCAGGCUGUCCAGGUGUCUAAAACACACCUGAAGAAAGGGCCGGGCAAGACCGGUGCCAGCCGCCGCGGUAAUUCA